GGGCCUAUAGCUCAAUGGUUAGAGCAGUGGACUCAUAAUCCAUUGGUUCCAAGUUCGAAUCUUGGUGGGCCCACCA
rnacentral:tRNA from 1 species